GUAACAAGGUUUCCGUAGGUGAACCUGCGGAAGGAUCAUUACCGAGUGAGGGCCCUCUGGGUCCAACCUCCCACCCGUGUUUAUUUUACCUUGUUGCUUCGGCGGGCCCGCCUUUACUGGCCGCCGGGGGGCUCACGCUCCCGGGCCCGCGCCCGCCGAAGACACCCCCGAACUCUGUCUGAAGAUUGCAGUCUGAGUGAAAACGAAAUUAUUUAAAACUUUCAACAACGGAUCUCUUGGUUCCGGCAUCGAUGAAGAACGCAGCGAAAUGCGAUACGUAAUGUGAAUUGCAAAUUCAGUGAAUCAUCGAGUCUUUGAACGCACAUUGCGCCCCCUGGUAUUCCGGGGGGCAUGCCUGUCCGAGCGUCAUUGCUGCCCUCAAGCCCGGCUUGUGUGUUGGGCCCCGUCCCCCGAUCCCGGGGGACGGGCCCGAAAGGCAGCGGCGGCACCGCGUCCGGUCCUCGAGCGUAUGGGGCUUUGUCACCCGCUCCGUAGGCCCGGCCGGCGCCUGCCGAUCAACCCCAAAUUUUUAAUCCAGGUUGACCUCGGAUCAGGUAGGGAUACCCGCUGAACUUAAGCAUAUCAAUAA
rnacentral:misc_RNA from 1 species